UAAUUGCCCCAGGACACACAGAAGUCAAGGUUUGAAACCCCCACAUGGCCAGCCCUGAAGCCCAGACUACUGAGACCGCAGCAACUGAGUUCUCAAGUGAAAAUCAAGAAGAUGAGGCAAGGACCUCAAAAAGAAUGCAGCAGUCCUAAAGGCCUUUGAGAAAAACUGUGAGAUGAAAUUCCUCCAGCAGUGGGGGUCUCAUUAUGUUGCCCAGGCUGGUCUCAAACUUCUGGCCUCAAGCGAUC